CAACCGCCAUCUUGGACCGGUCAUACUCGUUGCUUAGCAGCAGAAGAUUCAAGAUGCCAGAGCACUGUGCAGCAUAUUCCUGUUCAAAUCGGCGGACCAUUGAAAACAGGGCUCGGGGGAUUACUUUUCACAAGCAUACAGUCCAAUUGCAACGGCCACCGGACAGAUCAAUUGGAGGUACAUCAAUCAUCUCAAUGAUGGGCAAAAAAAAGAUGGACUGCAUGCUGCCAAUAAAAUUACAGACAAACAUGUCUACUUUGAGAACCACAAGAUGAGGGUGUCUCUGGCUGCACAGACACUGAGUCGCUCCGUGUCAGUGGCUCUCCGCACAAUGAGGGAUCUUGGGUACUCUCAGUUUAAGGACUGUGAGGCAACGGCAGAAUUCAUUGAGAUUAUUGACAGGCUGUUUGAUACAAU